GAUGAACGCUGGCGGCGUGCCUAAUACAUGCAAGUCGAGCGAAUAGAUUAAGAGCUUGCUCUUAUGAAGUUAGCGGCGGACGGGUGAGUAACACGUGGGUAACCUGCCCAUAAGACUGGGAUAACUCCGGGAAACCGGGGCUAAUACCGGAUAACAUUUUGAACCGCAUGGUUCGAACUUGAAAGGCGGCUUUGGCUGUCACUUAUGGAUGGACCCGCGUCGCAUUAUAGAGUUGGUGAGGUAACGGCUCACCAAGGCAACGAUGCGUAGCCGACCUGGGAGGGUGAUCGGCCACACUGGGACGGAGACACGGCCCAGACUCCUACGGGAGGCAGCAGUAGGGAAUCUUCCGCAAUGGACGAAAGUCUGACGGAGCAACGCCGCGUGAGUGAUGAAGGCUUUCGGGUCGUAAAACUCUGUUGUUAGGGAAGAACAAGUGCUAGUUGAAUAAGCUGGCACCUUGACGGUACCUAACCAGAAAGCCACGGCUAACUACGUGCCAGCCGCCGCAGUAA
rnacentral:rRNA from 1 species